rnacentral:rRNA from 1 species
UAGGUGUGGGGGACAUUCCACGUUUUCCGCGCCGUAGCUAACGCAUUAAGUGCCCCGCCUGGGGAGUACGGCCGCAAGGCUAAAACUCAAAGGAAUUGACGGGGGCCCGCACAAGCGGCGGAGCAUGCGGAUUAAUUCGAUGCAACGCGAAGAACCUUACCAAGGCUUGACAUACACCGGACCGCCCUAGAGAUAGGGUUUCCCUUCGGGGCUGGUGUACAGGUGGUGCAUGGUUGUCGUCAGCUCGUGUCGUGAGAUGUUGGGUUAAGUCCCGCAACGAGCGCAACCCUUGUCCUAUGUUGCCAGCACGUAAUGGUGGGGACUCAUGGGAGACUGCCGGGGUCAACUCGGAGGAAGGUGGGGAUGACGUCAAAUCAUCAUGCCCCUUAUGUCUUGGGCUUCACGCAUGCUACAAUGGCCGGUACAGUGGGUUGCGAUACUGUGAGGUGGAGCUAAUCCCUAAAAGCCGGUCUCAGUUCGGAUCGAAGUCUGCAACUCGACUUCGUGAAGUUGGAGUCGCUAGUAAUCGCAGAUCAGCAAUGCUGCGGUGAAUACGUUCCCGGGCCUUGUACACACCGCCCGUCAAGUCACGAAAGUUGGUAACACCCGAAGCCGGUGGCCCAACCCUUGUGGGGGGAGCCGUCGAAGUGGGGCUG